rnacentral:rRNA from 1 species
CCCUUAGAUGUUCUGGGCCGCACGCGCGCUACACUGACGAAUGCAACGAGCUUAUAACCUUGGCCGAAAGGUCUGGGUAAUCUCCAAAUUUCGUCGUGAUGGGGAUAGAUUAUUGCAAUUAUUAAUCUUCAACGAGGAAUGCCUAGUAAGCGCAAGUCAUCAGCUUGCGUUGAUUACGUCCCUGCCCUUUGUACACACCGCCCGUCGCUCCUACCGAUUGAAUGGUCCGGUGAAGCGCUCGGACCGCGGCCUCUUGACGGUUUUCCGUCGAUUGGCUGUGGGAAGUUCGUUAAACCUUAUCAUUUAGAGGAAGGAGAAGCCGUAACA